GACGAACGCUGGCGGCGUGCUUAACACAUGCAAGUCGAACGGAAAGGCCCUGCUUUUGUGGGGUGCUCGAGUGGCGAACGGGUGAGUAACACGUGAGUAACCUGCCCUUGACUUUGGGAUAACUUCAGGAAACUGGGGCUAAUACCGGCUAGGAGCUCCUGCUGCUUGGUGGGGGUUGGAAAGUUUCGGCGGUUGGGGAUGGACUCGCGGCUUAUCAGCUUGUUGGUGGGGUAGUGGCUUACCAAGGCUUUGACGGGUAGCCGGCCUGAGAGGGUGACCGGCCACAUUGGGACUGAGAUACGGCCCAGACUCCUACGGGAGGCAGCAGUGGGGAAUAUUGCACAAUGGGCGGAAGCCUGAUGCAGCAACGCCGCGUGCGGGAUGACGGCCUUCGGGUUGUAAACCGCUUUCGCCUGUGACGAAGCGUGAGUGACGGUAAUGGGUAAAGAAGCACCGGCUAACUACGUG
rnacentral:rRNA from 1 species